rnacentral:lncRNA from 1 species
UGAAUAUGGUAAAACUCCCACAUGUACUAAUGACAAUUUUAUUUUCAGAUUGCAUUCUUUGGAGGAUCCCUGGACACUUCAGGAGAAUUAGUGGUUUAUGCCUCACAGCAGCCCGUAAGGUGGCACUGCUGUUUCUCAUCUGGCAGCAUUCUAUCAAAUGCAGAGCUGCAAUGUUGACUUGCAUCAGUGACGGAUCGAGCCCUCUGGGAGUCGGCAUAAUUGGAGAUCAGCAGUCUGGAAUCCUGCCCCUGAAGAAUCAGGAAAGAGGCUGUACCUGACACAGAAUCAAGCCAGAUUCAAAGUGAUGGGAAUGUUUAAGCUGUGAUAACUUUUUUUAAAAAUCCCUCUGCUACAUAAUUUAAGUAAAUAUUUGUAGGUGUCUGUAAUAGGGGUAAUUGCUGCAUUUCCUUUCAAACAAAAGCAAGGAGUGCAGUUUUCAGUAA